UACGGAGGGGGCUAGCGUUGUUCGGAAUUACUGGGCGUAAAGCGCACGUAGGCGGGUUUUUAAGUCAGGGGUGAAAUCCUGGAGCUCAACUCCAGAACUGCCUUUGAUACUGAAGAUCUUGAGUCCGGGAGAGGUGAGUGGAACUGCGAGUGUAGAGGUGAAAUUCGUAGAUAUUCGCAAGAACACCAGUGGCGAAGGCGGCUCACUGGCCCGGUACUGACGCUGAGGCACGAAAGCGUGGGGAGCAAACAGGG
rnacentral:rRNA from 1 species